ensembl:lncRNA
CUACACAGCAAAAACUGGAGUGUUAAAAUUUCAGGGUUAAAGAUGUUAGAGUUGAUUUCCACUCUCAAAGUGUCAUAUUAACACAUUCUGAUUCAAAUAGUAUUCAGUGUUGGAGUUAUUAAACAGUGUUAUUCAAGUCCAAGCAAAUGAACUCUGAAGAGAGUUAUUUAACUUGGUAGGCCCCUGGGCUUCUGCCCAGGUAAACCCGUGGAUCAAUUAAUAGUUUGCUCUGCCGGGCCGAUUUUCCAUGUGCUUCUGCUGGUUACACCGUGGUGGAUGCCUGCCGUGCUGCUUGGAGUAUUUUACACAAACGGUAAGUUAUUCAAACUUAUAUAAAAUUCACAGUAUUCUAUCGGCGCAGUGAGGUUUUCUUGAUGUUUCUUGGUGUUCGGUUGCUGAAAACGAGCUUUAAUAGAGGAGGAGAUGUGUCGAAAAUUCUAUUUAGCCUCCAAUGCUAAUGUUGCAGUCUUUUUACUCGUAAGUGACGGUAGACACUGCACGUGGAAGCGCCGCGCCAAGUUCAGCUUUUCCCCUGUUCACACAGACACGUCUUUCUCCACGCCAGUUCAUGAGCGUUUUUGCUUCUCUGUUUAUUCAGAGUAAUUUUUUCACAAUUGAUAAGUAAAUAACAUCCCAAAAUAAUUGAAGAGAGCUUGUUUUAGUCACUCCUGCUUUUACUUUGACAUCGUUCAUCGCUGACUUGUCUCUAAUCUGUCUCUCUCUCUGUCUCACUCUCUUCUCCCUUUGAGACACCCGCCCCAAACAUAGUCAGUUAGGCUGUCCCCUCCUUUGCUAUGUGUUCAUUUUCAUCUCUAUUGUCUCUUUUCAUACACAAAUCUGAUCGCAUUUGUCAAUCGCAGUAUUUUAUUUUGGAGAAUAGCUUUUAUCUUCAAAAUUGCCUGGAUUGUCUUGUGUGUCUUGGUGUAACUUCCUGCGGAACAUGCGUGGGCCACGCAAAAAAUAGACCAGAUACCGAAACAAUCGCUUCGUAGCACUCCGUGUCUGGUGUAAACUACACCAUAGAUUAACGUGUAUUUUGUAUUGUGUUAUGUAUCAAUUGGACUCCUGCAUGGACAGACACAGGUUUAUUUGAUAACAUUAAAUGUUAUUGCAGUGAAAUUCAAACGCAUGGUCAGUAUUAAUCACCAUGUACGGUAUAUGUCAGUGUUUUAAUCAUUUGUGCUUGAAUUGCUCUAAAUGUCAAAUACUAUGCCAUCUUUGUUAUUAUUUUAUCCCAGUAAAAUGCUGGUUCAGGUUCGAUACUGCCAACAGCAGAAGUAUGUGAAGUUGGAAGAGGUUGAUGGGCGUUUUGAGUUUAUGCAGUUUCAUGAAAAAGGUUUGUUUAUAUCUUACCUAAUUUUAGUUGGGGGGACAGAAUUUUUUGUAGGGCGUUUCGCCAAGUCUCUUGAAUCAUACAGUGGUGUAUCACUUUAGUGAAUGUGAGGCAAGAACAGUUUACUUAAAAGGUGCACUCAGAUAUAUCUUAUCUUUUCCAGUCAUCGAGAGAUUUUGCCUGCCACCUGAUGCAAAAGUAGUGUACAAAGAUGCAACAGGGACAGAAGUUGAUGAAGUGAUUUUCAGUGAUCUUAUCAGCCAAGGCACUGUGGUCCUAACAGUUUUCUCAAGUGAUGGUGAGAAAUUUAAAGGGGCAAGCUCAACACCAGACAUGGGGAAGGGCUGUGUGGCUGCUGGUUGUUCCAAAUAAUCAGGAGCACACAAUUUGACCAAUCAGCUGUUUGAACAUUGAGAUCAGUUAAUUUAAAUGAGUCAGGUCUGCAGUGUGAUGUUGCCUUGUUAGUUAAAAAUCUGCAGCCAGAUUUGUUUUUCUACACCUUACAGAAUAAUGUUGUUUUUUCCUUUUAGAAUUUUCUGAUUACUCCUUGUCUUCUGCAUCUGAUUGUUCUGACUCAAGCUUCAGCUCAAAUGCAAGUACAUCAACUAUACUUCUAGAUGAGGGUCCCAGGAAGAAAACAAGAGUUGAGGGUACUGUUGAUGCAGCAUCUGCUAAAAAGUUAAUUGAAGGUGUACUUGGAACCAAUUCAGGUGGUGAAGAGGUUCUCCAGGAAUAUCACACAACACAAACUCUGACAGAUGCUACCAGAAGAAAAAUGGUCAAUAUAAUAGUGGCUCACAUGAUUGAUUGCCAUGGGCACCUCCCCACCAAAGCUGUUAGAGAACAGUACGCGCUAGGGGUAGUGACAUUGUUCCCAUCCCUGAAAGACCCAUACUCCAAGAAAGGCUAUGUAUAGUCACUACUAUUGCACUUUGUUUACAUAAUUUUCAUGCUGUGCAUCAUUGGGAUUUGUGUGCGUUCACAUUUAAGUUCUAAAAAUUUUCAGAUUGACAACACAUUAUUUUUGAAUGUAUUUACAUUUUAGGAACACUUCUAUGAUGCUGCAAGCAGCACUGGAUACAUUUCUUGGCGUUUGAAAACGAUACAGAGAAAGACUAGAAGAGGAUCUGCACCACCAAGUAGCUCCACUGGCUUUACUCAAGGAGGGGGCCCAAAUUACCAAAGGCCCAUUAAUGUCGACAUGCAGCUUGAUGGAGAUGCUUGCCAGGAGGCCAUCUCUUUGCUGAAACAUACAUCCGACACUUCCUUGAUUUUCCAGAAGAUGAGAGAGACCUUUCAGCAUCGUCAGAAGGUCAUCAAUGAUCCUGACAAAAGUCUUGAUAUCCUGUCUAUCUUCCCAAGAUUCUUGGAUACAAGAGGAUUGGUGAAUCAAGACUUCACUCUCCUGUUUGAUGAUGAGAUAUCUACCAGGCUGCUUCAGAAAUGGGAUCCAAUCUUUAGGUAUCAAAUCAUCAAAGAGGCCAAGCAGCUCACCUCAACAGUAGAGUUGCGUCAAUUGGUGCAGUCAGCAGAGAGUCCACCAGGAAGUGAUCUUGAUGAGGCAGCAACCUUUGACCAAGACAUGGCCUCCCUGUUGUUACUGUUACAUCUACUUCCGCCACCCCCAGGAGGACCAAAGUAUCAAAAAAUCAGCGCCUCUGAUGCUGUUGAGAGACUUGUAGUCUUUCAUAAGUCUUGCUGCAGUUUGGAAGAGCAUCUCCAGAAUCAGCAGAGUCAGCAGCCAUACCUCCUGGCUGUUGGGCGCCAGAAGAGGAAGGUCGACAGCUUCUAUGUUGCCAUAGACAAGCGUCUCAUCCCCUGCCAGGCCAGCCGCUCCCUUGGGGCAUUUGAUGAGCUUUUUAAAGCUCAUUUUGUGUUCAAUGUGUCUUAUGAUGCUGCACUUGUGAAUUUCUACACAUUUCUGCAGACAACAGUAUACAAUAUUGAUAUGGGGAAAAUGAAGGAGUCCCCAAGAGUGCGUGACUUGAGAGCCAAAAUCCUUAACCAGGAAAUUCUUCUCACAACCUAAGUAAAAAUCAUUAAAAUGCUGACAUGUUUUUUGUGUAAGAGAGCUUAUCUCAGCAGUCAGCAGCUGAUUUCACAUUUAAGAGGUGAACAUGGUUAUUAUCCUGGACCUAAGUUUAAGUUGUGUUGUUGGCAGCCAGGCUGCAGGCUUCAGUUCCAAACUUAUGCAGGCUUUAGGAAGCACCUCAGUUUUCACAGCAAUGUUGACCACAAUGAUCGAACUUCAGCCAUUGCUUCUUUUUCUAAUGACACAGUUUCACCUGCUUUGGAGGACCAGUUUAAUUCCUCUUAUCUUCCUCACAGUUCUCCCAGUGUUCUUCCAGAGUCUAGUUCUUCCAGUGUUCCAGUGAGCAUUGAUUCAGUACUUACAAGGGAUUCAUCCAAAGAAAUCUGUGCAUCCAUUGUGGCCAAACUGCAGGGUAGUGGCCUUUCUAACAGUUUAGUAUCCUCACUUGUAGGCGAUUUGGAGGAAUUAACAAGUGAGCUUCGCUCAGAAGCAAAGCAGGCCAUUCUUUCUGCGUUACCCACAAAGGACUCCAGCAUAUCUUUAAUAAAUGAAUGUUUUGAAAAUUUUGAAAACCCUUUCACCAAUCUGAACACAGAAUGGAAACGAAAUAAAUACUUCAAUCUAAAAUGGGGAGUUGUAGAACCUAGAGAAAUAACACUUGGAGUGAGGUAUGACAUCAGGCGAAAUCAGAAGUUUGGUACUUAUGAUCAAGUACCUGUGAAGGAUACUUUUAUAUAUGUACCUAUUUUGGAGUCUUUGAAGUUCAUGUUUAGAAAUCCAGAGAUUUGUGUUUUCCUGCAGAGAGAGUGUAGCUCAGAGCCUGAUGCUUAUCAUGACUUUUGUGAUGGAAGUUACUUUAAAACUCACCCUUUGUUUUCAGCCAAAAGGCAUGCAUUACAAAUUCAGCUAUACUAUGAUGACUUUGAAACAGCCAAUCCUCUUGGCUCUAAACGCGGAAUUCACAAAAUUGGCUGUAUUUAUUUUGUUAUAAGAAACUUGCCCCCAAAAUUUAAUUCCAUUUUGAUGAACAUUCAUUUAGUGUCACUUUUCCACACACCAGAUCUGCAAAAGUAUGGUUUUGAUGUUAUACUGGAACCACUGAUAAAUGAUGUCAAAAAACUGGAAAGCCAAGGGCUAAGUCUUCCAUUUUCUGAUGAGCAGGUAUAUGGCACAAUAUCACAGAUCACUGGAGAUAACCUAGGGAUGCACUCAAUUCUUGGUUUUAAUGAGUCGUUCAGUAGCCGUCAUUUCUGUCGCCUUUGUUUGAUUGAGAAGAAUGAUUGUCAAAUGGUGUACAGUGAGGAUGAUCCUAAAAUUAUUCUUCGUGGGAAAGAUUUGUUUGACAUACAUUGCCAGUCUCUUCGGGAAGAUCCUAAAUUGAAGUCACUGUAUGGGUUGAAAAGAAAUUCUGCACUCAAUUCAUUGCAGUAUUACCAUAUUUGCAAUAACUACUCAUUUGAUAUAAUGCAUGACCUUCUUGAAGGUGUGGCUCAGUAUGAGGUCAAAUUGCUUUUUGAGUAUCUUACGCAACACUUCAUAUCAGAACAGAACUUGCUUUCUAGGAUUUAUGGUUUUGACUAUGGAUUUUUAGAAAGAAAAAACCGGCCCACUAAAAUCAUAUUGGACAGUGCUGGCAAUAGCAUUGGUUUGAACUCUAUCCAGACAUUCUGUCUUGUGAAAAACAUCCCACUUUUGUUUGGUGACAUUAUUCCUGCAGGGAACAGACACUGGAAUUUGUUAUUGUUGUUACUUCAAAUAAUGAACAUUGUUUUUUCACCUUGUCUCACUCUGGGAAUGACUAUAUAUUUGAAGAAUUUGAUUAUUGACCACCACAAACUAUUUAAGCACACGUAUCCACACAGAAACUUGAUUCCUAAGCAUCAUUUUAUGAUUCAUUACCCAUCCUGUAUUCGAAAAAUUGGCCCUUUACUGUAUAUGUGGAGUAUGAGGUUUGAAGCUAAGCACAAGUUGUUCAAAGAUUAUUUCAAAAAUUUCAAAAACCUCACCAAAUCGCUUGCUAAACGGCAUCAGAUGGCCAUUGCUUAUCACUGGGAAACCUUUUCUCUUAAACAGAAGGAGUUUGGGCCAAUUAAAUCAUUUUCUUUAAGAGGUGAAAGUGUGGUCAAUAGUGAAAUGCUAUUAUCAAAAGAUGUUUUCUCAACAAGUUGGGUUAAAAUUGAUGGUGUAGAGUACAAAGCUGGACUCGUUGUUUGCAGUACAAUGGAGGAAGACAUGCCAGUCUUUUGUCAAAUAAUUGAUACACUUAUGGUUGAAAAUGACAUUUUUUUGUUGACACACAAACUCUUUACUGAAAACUUUGAUGAACAUCACCAUGCAUUCAAAGUAGUACAAACUGAAGAACGGUGUGUCAUAAAAAUAACUGAACUCAAAUGUCACAGACCAUUUGAUAUUCAAAACUCAUACAGUGCUGCAGAUGAAAGUUUGUACAUUAUAUCUUCAUUUAUUAUGUUUUGAUUCACUUUCUGGGAAAAAGAAGCAUGAUAAUAAAUGUUUUUGGACAAUGUACAGUUUUCUUGAAAUUAUUCUCAUGAUUGUACUUGUUGUCGUUAAAAAGUUAUGUUAAUCUAUUACAUAAAUAGUUCUUUUAGGGAUUAAAACUACCUUAAUAAAAGAUUAAAGAGUUAAAGUAGUGUUAUUUUUCAAUCUGUGUAGUGUUAAUUUAACCCAGUUUGGUGAUUAAAAAUUAACUCAGACAUGGUGUUAAUAAUAAUUUGCUCAGUGUUAAUUUAACCCGGUUUUAAGAGUUAAAAAUUAACUCAGACAUGGUGUUAAUAAUAAUUUGCUCAGUGUUAAUUUAACCCAGUUUUAAGAGUUAAAGAAGGAACUCUGACAAAGUGUUAAAUAAUUAACUAUUUUGAAAAUGUUAAUUCAACUCUGUAGAGUGUGGAGCUAUAUAAACCCUGAAAAAAUGUUAAAAUCAACUCUGUGGGAGUUGAUUCAACACUACAGUUUUUGCUGUGUA